rnacentral:lncRNA from 1 species
GAAUAAGAGCUCUCAGUACUCUCGGACCACUUCCUAUUUUCUACGCUGUGGAUCCAAGCAAGGGCUAUGUUUAUGUGCUUUUUUUAACUCUCCCCAACAGAGUUGUCCUCUGAUCUGCUGAGAGCCGGGUUUCAGCUUUACACCUGAGAGGGAUGGAUGUACCACUCACCUGACAACUUCCAUUCAGCUUGCCCACAAACUCUCCAGAAGUUCCGUCCUUCUGCCUCUAGCUGCAUG